GACUGCCGGUGACAAACCGGAGGAAGGUGGGGAUGACGUCAAAUCAUCAUGCCCCUUAUGACCUGGGCUACACACGUGCUACAAUGGCUGGUACAACGAGUCGCAAGCCGGUGACGGCAAGCUAAUCUCUUAAAGCCAGUCUCAGUUCGGAUUGUAGGCUGCAACUCGCCUACAUGAAGUCGGAAUCGCUAGUAAUCGCGGAUCAGCACGCCGCGGUGAAUACGUUCCCGGGCCUUGUACACACCGCCCGUCACACCACGAAAGUCGGUAACACCUGAAGCCGGUGGGCCAACCUCUUGGAGGCAGCCGUCGAAGGUGGGACCGAUGAUUGGGGUGAAGUCGUAACAAGGUAGCCGUAUCGGAAGGUGCGGCUGGAU
rnacentral:rRNA from 1 species